AUCACAUCACCCGUUUUAAUCACAUCCCAUGGUUCUCUUCGUACUCUCUCAAACUCUCUUCCCUCAUCUUCACAGUUCAUAGACGAGCUGCAAAAAUUCCCUCAUCUUCACAGAUCGUCUCUGCGAAUUUCUACAACUUCACAGAUCUUCACAGACGAGCUGCAGAUUGUCUCUGCAAAAAUUCCCUCUUCUUCACUGUGACGACCCGUCUCUAAUAUUCCUAUGUAAUUUCUCCCCGAGUAUGUGUAUUGACGAUUAUACCCUUAUUGGCAAAAGACGUGGACUUAUUCUUAUCGCUUUCCUUUUUAUUUCUCGCUAUCGCAUUUAAAUUGUACACGCUAGUACGAGUAGACGUAGAUUUUAAAGUGUAAAAAUAUCUACUUCGAAUAGAUUUCGAUUUCCUUUUACUGUAGGAAAUCUAAAAACCUAUCAAUUGGAUUCCUUUUUAUCCCAUCCUGUGCACCCCUCUUCAUUAUUUCACACUCACCUAUCCCAUCUCUUCUUUAUUUUUGUCCCCCUCUAUCAGAAAAGGUUCUCUCUCUCUUCUCUCUCUUUCUCUCCCGUAUUCUCUCUUCCUCUGCAACGCCAUGAACGAACAUCAAAGCUCAUAGAUUGAGCUUGAAACCAAUCCCAUUUUACUCCUCUCAUCCUCACGAACACAACCAUACCAACCAAACCAAGAAUGGAUGAGUUUUGACUCGCCAACUCGGAAGGUCCGAACUCGGACGAGUUGAGUUCGACAUGUUUUCAACCGAGUCACAAUGUUUUAGGACUUGGGAAAACCUCUACGCAGCUCCCUAGUGUCUCUAGUCAAGGUUUGAGGAAGCUUUGACGUGAAACAACUCGAUUUUGAGAAGUUCAAGUCUGACCCGUGCCUUUCGAGCCAAUUUUCGGCCAAACUAUGGCGAGUUGGCCUGCAUGCAAGUUUCCGGCGAGUCCGACGGCUUUCGAGGCGUUUUCCGGACAAACCACAGAGAGUUAGACGUCAUGUAAGGUUUAGUAGCGGUGUUUUACACGUAUACGAGGAUUCUGGCAAAUCUCAGGAGAUGGUUACCUUCAGUGGUGUAACCCUCAACCUAUUUACUAUAAUGUCUUCUGCUCUGACAUCACGUGUGAAUAGGGUUCAAACCCGCUCACCUGCACACUCUCUUGAUUAGGCACUUUAGGUUUAAAUUUACCCCUACCUUCCACAUCACUACACUUUAUGGCUUCGUCACCCUUCAGGUGUCGGCCAGCACAACUCGAUUUGGAAUCCAAGUGGACAUUCCGGGUCGGGAUGUGUUAUUCAUAGAUCAUCUUCACAGAUCUACAACUUCCGAUCUCGUACGAAAUUCUGCAGCUCGUCUCUGCGAAUUUCUGCAGCCCAUUGCAAAAAUUGCAGCAAGUUUUAGAACACUGGACUUUUCAUUUCCGACGACGGAGGCGCAAAUCUUGGGUCUGAGCCUGGAUUGCAGAGAGAGAUCUGGGCAGCUGCGACGACGUAGCCUCGGCUGCCUUUCCGACGACGGAGCCAUGACGAUUGUUUCGAUAAUAUCGAAUAUAUCGCGAUACUAUUGAUAAUAUCGAUAAUAUCGCGAUAUUUUGACGAUAAUUAAGGGGAUACGUGUGAAAAUAUCGGUUUCUCUGAAAAACGAUAAUAUCGACGAUAUUUCGUCGAUAUUAUCGAUAUUUAAUACCUUGGUUAGAUCCGACAACAGUGUUUUGUUUUCCGACACUAUUUUAAAUUUUGUCGGAAAUAUUUUAUCUAACACUAAUCAUAUAAAACCACCACCACCCUCCGACACAUUAAGCCAAUUUUGUGGUAGUGUUUGAUUGUGAAUGAUUUUGAGCUUUUUUUGUGUCCCUCACAUCACAUAUUCAUUCGAGUUUAAAUCUUCUGCACUCGUUUUAUGUGUGGCCUCUCUAUGGAUUCUAAUGUUAAUUUACAUGUGUUAUGUUUAUUGAUGUAGGACAAGAUUGAUUGACGCAACACAAAGCUAGUAAGGAUUACAAGUGUAAAUCCUUGAAGAAUAAAUUCUAGAGUCCACCGGUUUGAUAGAAAUCUCAAAGAAUAAUUUAAUUCAUUGAUUGAAAGAUAUUGAAUAAAGUUGAAAC